rnacentral:rRNA from 1 species
GCACGAAAGGCGCAACGAUCUGGGCACUGUCUCAACGAGAGACUCGGUGAAAUUAUAGUACCUGUGAAGAUGCAGGUUACCCGCGACAGGACGGAAAGACCCCGUGGAGCUUUACUGCAGCCUGAUAUUGAAUGUUGGUACAGCUUGUACAGGAUAGGUAGGAGCCUUGGAAACCGGAGCGCUAGCUUCGGUGGAGGCAUCGGUGGGAUACUACCCUGGCUGUAUUGACCUUCUAACCCGCUGCCCUUAUCGGGCAGGGAGACAGUGUCAGGUGGGCAGUUUGACUGGGGCGGUCGCCUCCUAAAAUGUAACGGAGGCGCCCAAAGGUUCCCUCAGAAUGGUUGGAAAUCAUUCGCAGAGUGUAAAGGCACAAGGGAGCUUGACUGCGAGACCUACAAGUCGAGCAGGGACGAAAGUCGGGCUUAGUGAUCCGGUGGUUCCGCAUGGAAGGGCCAUCGCUCAACGGAUAAAAGCUACCCCG